CGGGUCGGCAAGACGGCUGCGUCGUUCGCGCGGGUCUCCCGCGCGGACGCCGAGGAACGUCCGGGCUCCGCAGAGCAGGGCGGUGGGUAACACCCACCCGGGGCAACCCGCGAGACAGUGCAACAGAGAACAGACCGCCUCAGGUGCUCGUCACCUGCGGUAAGGGUGAAACGGUGGUGUAAGAGACCACCAGCGGCCGGGGUGACCCGGUCGGCUCGGUAAACCUCGCCCGGAGCAAGGUCAGACAGGGGACCAUGGGGCUGCUCGUCCCGUCCCCGGGUAGGCCGCUAGAGGGGUGCGGCAACGUACUCCCGAGAGAGAUGGUCGUCGGCGACAUCCGUGUCGUCACAGAACCCGGCGUAUCAGCCGGCCCGUUCA
rnacentral:RNase_P_RNA from 1 species